UAUGGCGACCGGCGCACGGGUGAGUAACGCGUAUCCAACCUGCCCUUUACUAUGGGACAGCCCGUCGAAAGGCGGAUUAAUACCGUAUGUUGUCAUGUUGAUGCAUAUUUUCAUGACCAAAGGCUUCGGCCGGUAAAGGAUGGGGAUGCGUCUGAUUAGCUUGCCGGCGGGGUAACGGCCCACCGGGGCGACGAUCAGUAGGGGUUCUGAGAGGAAGGUCCCCCACAUUGGAACUGAGACACGGUCCAAACUCCUACGGGAGGCAGCAG
rnacentral:rRNA from 1 species